rnacentral:rRNA from 1 species
UGCCAGCCGCCGCGGUAAUACAGAGAGUGCAAGCGUUAAUCGGAUUUACUGGGCGUAAAGCGCGCGUAGGCGGAUUUUUAAGUCGGAUGUGAAAGCCCUGGGCUCAACCUGGGAACUGCAUACGAUACUGGAAAUCUAGAGUAUGGUAGAGGGAAGUGGAAUUUCCGGUGUAGCGGUGAAAUGCGUAGAUAUCGGAAGGAACAUCAGUGGCGAAGGCGACUUCCUGGACCAAUACUGACGCUCAGGCGCGAAAGCGUGGGUAGCAAACAGGAUUAGAUA